CCAAAGGCUCUUUUCAGAGCCACCACUUCCUCCAUUAAAAGAGCCG
rfam:Xenopus laevis strain J chromosome 5L, whole genome shotgun sequence.